AGGGAUAUAACCCAGUGGUAGAGAGUGUUUGCUUAGCAUGCAUGAGGCCCUGGGUUCAAUCUCCAGUACCACAA
rnacentral:tRNA from 1 species